rnacentral:lncRNA from 1 species
UCCGUUACCAUUAGUUCCUGGUUAGUGUUUAAGGGUGCACUACCACGCCUGUACUGCAGGCGUCACUGUAGGCGGAUAGAAUGUAAACAGAGCAGCGGCUAAAUCGCAGCAGCUAACGUUAGACCUCCACAUUUGACGUUUGGCUCAUUUAAAAGAGGAAAUGGGAGCGAUUAAGUUGUCUUAUUGGCGUUAUUAUUAUUAUUUUAAUGCAUUCCACCGUUUACUGUGAGAUUCUAGCGAACCAAAGGAGCAGCAUUAGUGGGCUUUAAUACUGAGACCAAGCUAACCAGCUAGCUAUCUUAGCUUCGGGUGGUUAAACCAUGAACUCUCUGGUUGGCUACGGGGUGUCCUCGGAGUCCGACAGCGACGGAGACGGAGAGCAUGUUGGGGAGCUGGGUGGCGAGGCAUCGGCUGUCAAAAAGACCCGCAACUUUUUGCUGGAGUCUGGUUCAGCGUCCAGCGAAUCCGAACCAGAGGACGGGGAUCCGGAGCCCUCCUCAUCGCCACCGCACCCCCGAAAGCCGGCGUCUUCCACGGCCCACCGGCCGGCCCCUCCUCCGGGAUCCCUUGCCUGUCACAAGCUACCUCCUCCCGCACUGAACACCUCCUCGGACAGCGGCGUGUUCGCCAACCCUUUCAAGGCGCAGGCGGACCAGAAGCUGAGCGCCUUGCAGAAACACGUCCCCCUCACGAUGCAGCCCAAGCCCUCGCAGAUCGGCGGCAGGAAGGUGUGCGUGUCGUACAGGAAGAACGGCCGCUGCAGGUUCGGGAUCAAAUGCAAGUUCGCUCACGACAGCGACCUCCAGACUCUCGCCGACGGUCACGCGUCUGCGGGCGAGGAAACGCCGGGGUCAGGUCAGGCCGAGUCCCGCGCGGGGGGCUCUCGUGGCAGAGGAUCCAAGAACCCCCGGCAGAAAAAAGAGGAGGGGGAGGAGUCAGGAGGGCAGCAGGUGAAGAGGAGGAAGGUCGGACUGAGUAACACCUUGAUUCCUCCUAAACGAGCUAUGAAGCAGUACGCCACGCAGAGGGGCAGAGAGCAGAUCAAUAUGUCCUGA